GCGUGGGUGAUGAAGGCCUUCGGGUUGUAAAGCCCUUUCGACGGGGAAGAUGAUGACGGUACCCGUAGAAGAAGCCCCGGCUAACUCCGUGCCAGCAGCCGCGGUAAUACGGAGGGGGCUAGCGUUGUUCGGAAUUACUGGGCGUAAAGGGCGCGUAGGCGGCCGGAGAAGUCAGGCGUGAAAGCCCCGGGCUCAACCUGGGAAUAGCGUUUGAAACUGACUGGCUGGAGUCCGGGAGAGGGUAGUGGAAUUCCCAGUGUAGAGGUGAAAUUCGU
rnacentral:rRNA from 1 species